GUCAAGCUGAGGCGUUUAUUUGACAGGCGGCGGUGGAACUGAGCGGGCGAGCGGGCAAGGAUUAGAGAUAAUAUGAAAUGCUGAAUUACCGGUUAGCUGGUGCCUGGCCAUAAAUUAAAAACUUAAUAACGAGCGCAGCGCACGGAUUCGUACAUAACCAGGACAUGCCCAAUACACACACAUCACAAAUAUUCUCAUUGGCUCCGCUCUCUACACUAUUUGCCCGUCUCUUCGCUCUGUCUCCUGCGCUCAUCCUGCGGCAGCAAUAAAUCGCUAACAGCAAAUAAAUCAACGCGCAUAAAUUCCAAUGUUCGGCGACGAGGCCUGACCCGACUUUAUUUACGACAUUGCGACAAAGACACUUACGGCAAAAUGUUGGCCUCGCACUGGAUAAAAAUCGUGUUGAAAAUGUGGAAAAAGCAGCAGUAGCUGCAACAACAACAACAACAACACAUGCAACGCUCUCAAGUCAAAUGCCAGAGGAUUCCAAUUUGUUUUUGCAUGCAAUUCAUUGAUUGGGGAAGACUAUUGAAGUUUCUAAUGCAAAAUAUCUUUAAAUUAUAUAUUUACAUUU